rnacentral:rRNA from 1 species
CCUACGGGGGGCAGCAGUGGGGAAUAUUGGGCAAUGGGCGCAAGCCUGACCCAGCAACGCCGCGUGAAGGAUGAAGGCUUUCGGGUUGUAAACUUCUUUUAAGAGGGAAGAGCAGAAGACGGUACCUCUUGAAUAAGCCACGGCUAACUACGUGCGAGCAGCCGCGGUAAUACGUUGGUGGCAAGCGUUGUCCGGAUUUACUGGGUGUAAAGGGCGUGUAGCCGGGCAGACAAGUCAGUUGUGAAAUUCCGGGGCGCAACCCCGGACCUGCAUUUGAAACUGUUGGUCUAGAGUAUUGGAGAGGCAAGCGGAAUUCCUAGUGUAGCGGUGAAAUGCGUAGAUAUAAGGAGGAACACCAGUGGCGAAGGCGGCCUGCUGGACGACAACUGACGGUGAGGCGCGAAAGCGUGGGGAGCAAACAGGAUUAGAUACCCCAGUAGUC